GACGAACGCUGGCGGCGUGCCUAACACAUGCAAGUCGAGCGGGGAUUGAGGAAGAGCUUGCUCUGAGACAAUUCUAGCGGCGGACGGGUGAGUAACGCGUGAAUGAUCUAUCCUUCAGAGGGGGAUAACACAAUGAAAGUUGUGCUAAUACCGCAUGAGACCACGCAUCUGCAUGGAUGAGGGGUCAAAGGAGAAAUCCGCUGAAGGGUGAGUUCGCGUCUGAUUAGCUAGUUGGUGGGGUAAAGGCUCACCAAGGCGACGAUCAGUAGCCGGCCUGAGAGGGCGAUCGGCCACACUGGAACUGAGAGACGGUCCAGACUCCUACGGGAGGCAGCAGUGGGGAAUAUUGGGCAAUGGGGGAAACCCUGACCCAGCAACGCCGCGUGAGGGAAGAAGGCCUUCGGGUCGUAAACCUUUGUCCCAUGGGACGAGAAGAAGACGGUACCAUGGGAGGAAGCCCCGGCUAACUACGUGCCAGCAGCCGCCGUAACAC
rnacentral:rRNA from 1 species